GACGGAAGGUGCAAGCGUUGCUCGGAAUCACUGGGCGUAAAGGGCUCGUAGGUGGCCAACUAAGUCAGACGUGAAAUCCCUCAGCUUAACUGGGGAACUGCGUCUGAUACUGGAUGGCUUGGAUUUGGGAGAGGGAUGCGGAAUUCCAGGUGUAGCGGUGAAAUGCGUAGAUAUCUGGAGGAACACCGGUGGCGAAGGCGGCAUCCUGGACCAAUAUUGACGCUGAGGAGCGAAAGCCAGGGGAGCAAAGCGGG
rnacentral:rRNA from 1 species